GGGUCGAUGCCCGAGUGGUUAAUGGGGACGGACUGUAAAUUUGUUGCCAAUGUCUACACUGGUUCAAAUCAAGCCCGACCCA
rnacentral:tRNA from 1 species